GUAGCAAUCGUACUCUCCCGGAUCGCACAACUGCGCGUUAGAAUAACUGCUGAAAAUCGGUUUGAAUAUACAUACAAGAAAAUUUUAUAGUGACAGUUGUACUCUUUAUUGCCGCUCCGCGUCUCUGCUCUCGUUAAUAAUUACUUAUUGACAAUCGACGUUGAAUAUGACAGAGUCAACGAAAAGAAUAUGGCAAUGGAUUAGCUUCAAGUGUUUUAUACUGAACAUGCUGUUCACCAUAUCUCUGGCUCAGGAAGUUCACUUUCAUGGCGAUCAGGACUUCGUUUAUCCUGGUGGAAUAAGAAGGCGAAUUGACAGGCCUGAUCACAAUGCGAUUAGUAUGAACAAAAAAUAUGACAAUCUUACUGAGUUGGCUAGAAGCAUUCAAAUUGCUAAGGAUUUGAGUACCAUGGAUUCUGUCGAUGAUAUCCUUGCUGCGGUAGGAGUCGUAGAAACCGGUAAUACUGGAGUUGGUCUAAGCAGUAGAGUCGGAGGCGUUGAACGAUCCAAGGUCGAGAUACCUAAGAGCGCAGUGUGCAUGCCGGAGCUGCAGGUGGUAGAGCUGGUUGAAGAUAAUGAUCCAACCAAAAUAUAUUUGCCAACGUGUACACGCGCCAAAAGAUGCGGCGGAUGCUGUACCCACAGUGCAUUGUCUUGUCAACCGUCAAAAACGGAUGUACGAAACGUAGUGGUUCAAGUAAGGGAUCAAUCCUUUAAAUUGAUCGAAAAGAAGCUAGUGGCUCUGGAGGAGCACACCGAGUGCAUGUGCAAUUGCAGGGUCAAAGCCGAGCAUUGCAUUGAUAAGCAUCGCUAUUCGGAGGACGAAUGCAGGUGCAUCUGCAAGAAUACGGACGAGGAGGAAAAAUGCGAGCGCGAACACAAAAUAAAACGUUGGGAUCCAGAAACGUGCACGUGUCGUUGUCUGAGGGUGGAAGAGUGCAGCACAGGAUUGUUCUUCGAUCAAAAUGCGUGCAGGUGCGCGCCUCAAUGAGAAAAUGGAUUCACGCUGUUUUUGGCUUCUUGCAAGAAAAAUUUUCUACUGGUUUAUGGUUUCUUCUACUAUUACCUUAUACGUAACGAAAUACGGAUCUUGUUAGCUUAGCAAUGACGAGGAUAAUCAGUGUACCCGUAAUUCUUUUUCUAGCUGCAAGGCUAUUCCAGGCAGACUAUGGUUUGGUAAUAGUAAGAUAGGAAUUUAUCCAAGUCGACAGGAUGGAAAUAACAGACAUUUUUCACCUUCUGUUUUUGUCAUCGACGCUGCGGAUCCUAGAAGAAAGCCUAAGGACGAUCCGGAACGCACGUGAUUCUUACAUAUACGUGUAUGGUGGAUUAACAUUUACGACGUGGACAGUGUGAACAAUUUUUAUAUGGAGCCAAUGGGAAUGAUUUUUUCUCCUAUUUCUUUUUUCAACAUUAAACGCACUCCUACAGAUUCCAAGGGAGAUAUUAUCCAUUGUGAUGUUAGUAUUUAUUCAUGCAAAUGCAAGAUUAACUAUAAACAGUACUUACUCCUAUUGUAUUUAUGCAACUUCUUGUUAGCGACACCCUUUAUUUUUUAAUUUUAGUUAUUUUAGUUAUUGUCAACUGAUAAUUGCUCUUGACUUUUGUAUACCGUCAGCACAUCGUGAUGUCUUGCGGCGAGAUUCGAUUGUGAUAAGUGGGAGACUAUCGGAACUUAAUGCAAUACUGAAAUUUAGUCGUAGCUACGCCACUGAUUGGAAACAGUCAGAAGGACAUUUUACACAAUAAUUCUAGUCUGUCAAACUUGUUUCGCAAACUAUAAGAUAGAUUAGUGUAUAGUCGUUCAGUGGCGUAGCCUCUACUAAAGUUUGACCUUGCUAUAAUAUAUAGUAUACUUUGUACAAAAGACACAUGGGAAUAAGCAGAUACGAAUAGCAGAACCAUCUAGUGGUCAAAUUUGUAGUAUGUAUUAUAAGCUUACUUAUACCUUAGUUUUGUAUAUUCUGUCCUUUACUACGACUUAAUCAAAAUGCCUAAUGUAUUGCGCUCGAUGUACGCUAGUUUGCCUACAUCCAGGUGCGUCUUGAUCCAAAUUAUUUUUCGAAUUCGCUAUCUAUUGGGUGAAUCGUAAAAUCGCUUCUCGUCCAGAGGCACUUGAGAAUAACAUGGCUCUAAUAUUCUUCUAAUAGGAUGGGCUAAGGUAAUUAGACAUGCUGGAAUAAGCUUUAUCGAAAUCCUAAUAUGUCCUUGAUUAUAAUGUGCUAUAUUUGUAAUCUGAUAUAUCAGUUGCAUCUUCAGAGAAUUUCUGAUACGCAUUUAGCAUAAGACCCUGAAUUUGCAAAUGAUAUUAAAAGAUCGGUACACAUUCAAAUUAUAUGUACAUGUAACAUCAUUAUUGUUUAACAUGGAAAUAAAAAAAACUAUGUAUUAUUUUCCCUUG